CGUGUGGUUCUAUUUUGUUGGUUUCUAGGACCGCCGUAAUGAUUAAUAGGGACAGUCGGGGGCAUCAGUAUUCAAUUGUCAGAGGUGAAAUUCUUGGACUUAUUGAAGACUAACUACUACGAAAGCAUUUGCCAAGGAUGUUUUCAUUAAUCAGGAACGAAAGUUAGGGGAUCGAAGACGAUCAGAUACCGUCGUAGUCUUAACCAUAAACUAUGCCGACUAGGGAUCGGACGAUGUUAUUUUUUGACUCGUUCGGCACCUUACGCGAAAGUACAAGUUUCUGGGUUCUGGGGGGAGUAUGGUCGCAAGGCUGAAACUUAAAGAAAUUGACGGAAGGGCACCACCAGGGGUGGAGCCUGCGGCUUAAUUUGACUCAACACGGGGAAACUCACCAGGUCCAGACACGACGAGGAUUGACAGAUUGAGAGCUCUUUCUUGAUUUCGCGGGUGGUGGUGCAUGGCCGUUCUUAGUUGGUGGAGUGAUUUGUCUGCUUAAUUGCGAUAACGAACGAGACCUUAACCUGCUAAAUAGCCCGCGUUGCUUUGGCAGCGCGCCGGCUUCUUAGAGGGACUAUCGGCUCAAGCCGAUGGAAGUUUGAGGCAAUAACAGGUCUGUGAUGCCCUUAGAUGUUCUGGGCUGCACGCGCGUUACACUGACGGAGCCAGCGAGUACUUCCUUGGCCGAAAGGCCCGGGUAAUCUUGUUAAACUCCGUCGUGC
rnacentral:rRNA from 1 species